rnacentral:rRNA from 1 species
GAUGAACGCUGGCGGCGUGCCUAAUACAUGCAAGUCGAGCGAACGGACGAGAAGCUUGCUUCUCUGAUGUUAGCGGCGGACGGGUGAGUAACACGUGGAUAACCUACCUAUAAGACUGGGAUAACUUCGGGAAACCGGAGCUAAUACCGGAUAAUAUUUUGAACCGCAUGGUUCAAAAGUAAAAGACGGUCUUGCUGUCACUUAUAGAUGGAUCCGCGCUGCAUUAGCUAGUUGGUAAGGUAACGGCUUACCAAGGCAACGAUGCAUAGCGGACCUGAGAGGGUGAACGGCCAGACUGGCACUGAGACACGGUCCAGACUCCUACGGGGGGCAGCAGUAGGGAAUCUUCCGCGAUGGGCGAAAGCCUGACGGAGCAACGCCGCGUGAGUGAUGAAGGUCUUCGGAUCGUAAAACGCUGUUAUUAGGGAAGAACAUAUGUGUAAGUAACUGUGCACAUCUUGACGGUACCUAAUCAGAAAGCCACGGCUAACUACGUG